UGAAAAAUAGGUUUCUGCUUCCACUUGUAAGUGAGAGUUUCCUUCAUGGUCCACAUGACACGCCGUCAUCUUUUAACGUCAGUCCACGCGUAUACUUUCAAAGAACUGAACUAGAAGAGCCACCCAUGAAGCUCCCUAUGGAGUGAGCAUGAAGCCAGCGGUGAUCCUCUCGAGAGUGUGGCAGAGCGAGCAUAUCUGUAUCGGGUCAGAGGUGACGUGAUGUGUGUUCUGUACAGGGAGCAGACGCUGGGGACUCUGAUCCAGGGUCAGUGGAAGAUCCUCAUGCAGACGGAGGCAGAAACGCCUGCAGCUCCGGGGGAGCGUACAGACGAGACGGAGAGAGAGGAAGUCAGAAAGAGAAAACAAUCCUGACGGUGGUAAUCCAGAUCCCAGGGGUGAAGCGACGGACGGAUUUGCCCCAGAGGAAGAGCGGGGGAUUACAAGAGAGACGACACCAGAGAAUAUACACCCAUUACUGAGA